rnacentral:lncRNA from 1 species
GAUGCCGGCGUCCCGUCCCGUAGGUGGGUUGGCGCACAGGUUUGGGAAAUGCAAGCCCAGCUCUGCGCCUUACCUGGCGCCUCCAGCCCUCCAGCAGCUUCGGCCCCGCUCUGAAAAGAUUGGCCAGCAGUUGCAUCCCUCGCACACACGGAGCCCUGAGCCCUGGGGUAACGCGGUUCCAAUUACUGCCAGGUUCGGGUCCGCACAUCGACACAUUGCGUAUGAGCACGCGCUUGCGGAGCAGAAAACCUCUGUGCAAACUUGAGACACCUUUGCAGCAUAGAUUUUUUCAGUUGUACCGAUUGUGAGAAAUUAGUCCGGAAUAAGAACUCAAAAACCAGUGAAGUCGAGGGUCCUGGGCGUGGGCGCACUCCAUUAAUUCCAGCAUUUGAGUAAAGAGGAUCCCUGAAUACGAGGCCAGCCUGGUUUACAGUAAUUGAGUUCUAAGACAACCAGGACUACACGGAGAAAUCCCAUUUC